rnacentral:snoRNA from 1 species
AGUUGACCAUUUGGGCAUUUUCUCAAUAUCAUCUUGAAUCUUUCCCAUGUCUCAUAGAAGACUUCAUUUGCUCCUUGUCCGAACAUAGAGAUUUCAUACUUUGCUAU